rnacentral:lncRNA from 1 species
UGCAGACCUGUUAUAACGACGGACCGCUCCGUGCCAAGCAGCGGGAACUGCUGUGCUUUCUCUCGGCUGCAGCCCAGAGUCUCCUUCAGGGCCAGGGGAAUGGAAAACGGGGUUCUCAGGCUGUGGACUGUCCUGCCAGAGCAGGUUCCGGGGACCGGGCAGCUGGCAUAACAACCUGCCACAGUUGCUUUAGGGUGGACCUCCGUAAGACCCCUCUGCAAAUCUUGUCCAGCUGUGUUGUGGAAGGAGUAGGACUCGGUGGAACAGGAAUGCAUUCUGGCCAGUCUGAGAAUCGCUAGAAUGUGCCAAGCUCAGAUUCAGAUGCCAGUGACCGAAGAUCUGUGGGUGGUGUGAGCGUGCCUGGUACUCCGGCAAUUUCAGCCUUUCUGUACAAUGGAGAGGCCAGGAUGCGAUUCAUUGAUACCAGACUUCUAUCCUUA